CUCCUGGUCCCUCCGGGCCGCACGCGCGGCAGGGAGCGAGCAGCAUCCGGUCCCUUCCGGAGCGCGCAGGCGGCGCCUUCUCAGCGUGCGCCCGGGGUGGGUCGACAGCGACCGGGACGGGAGGCGGGAGCGUUCCCGGAGGCUGCGGAGAGCCCCGCUUUGUCUCAAGGGACCGCUGGGCAGUUUCCUCCUUUUCCCGCCCGCAUCCCUCUGCUUCCAGGUGCUCCAGGAAGUCGCCGGAGCUGAAGGUGAAGAAACUGAGGCCCAGAAAGGUGCUAGCAGCAAUAGUGUUUUUAGGAAGAAGGAUAGAAUGAAAGUGGAGGGCAAGGAAUUUCCUACAAAGUCCUCUCUGAUUUUCAGUUUUUCGAAGACCACUGCAAUUCGCAAGUAGAUCCUGCAUUUGGAAUUUGCCAGAGUCACUUUGGAAGUUCCCGGGGCAGCACCAUAGGAAGAUUAGCCCUGAGCUAACAUCUGCUGCCAGUCCUCCUCUUUUUGCUGAGGAAGGCUGGCCCUGAGCUAACAUCCAUGCCCAUCUUCCUCUAUUUUAUAUGUGGGAUGCCUGCCACAGCAUGACUUGCCAAGUGGUGCCAUGUCCACACCUGGGAUCCAAACCCGAGAACCCCGGGCUGCCAAAGUGGAAGGUUUAUUCUGUUUUGUUUUUAAAGAAACUGAUGAAAGGAGAGAGAAAUGUCAAGGAAACACUGCUUUGAAUUUUAUAAAUAUUGGUCCUCAGUGAGGAUGAUAAGGCAAAUACAAAAAAGGAGCUUAAG
rnacentral:lncRNA from 1 species